rnacentral:rRNA from 1 species
UACAGAGGGGGCAAGCGUUAUUCGGAAUUAUUGGGCGUAAAGGGUGCGUAGGUGGCGCCGUAAGUCAGGUGUGAAAUUUCGGAGCUUAACUCCGAAACUGCAUUUGAUACUGCGGUGCUUGAGGACUGGAGAGGAGACUGGAAUUUACGGUGUAGCAGUGAAAUGCGUAGAGAUCGUAAGGAAGACCAGUGGCGAAGGCGGGUCUCUGGACAGUUCCUGACACUGAGGCACGAAGGCCAGGGGAGCAAACGGG